GAUGAACGCUGGCGGCGUGCCUAAUACAUGCAAGUCGAGCGAACAGACGAGGAGCUUGCUCCUCUGACGUUAGCGGCGGACGGGUGAGUAACACGUGGAUAACCUACCUAUAAGACUGGGAUAACUUCGGGAAACCGGAGCUAAUACCGGAUAAUAUAUUGAACCGCAUGGUUCAAUAGUGAAAGACGGUUUUGCUGUCACUUAUAGAUGGAUCCGCUGCAUUAGCUAGUUGGUAAGGUAACGGCUUACCAAGGCGACGAUGCGUAGCCGACCUGAGAGGGUGAUCGGCCACACUGGAACUGAGACACGGUCCAGACUCCUACGGGAGGCAGCAGUAGGGAAUCUUCCGCAAUGGGCGAAAGCCUGACGGAGCAACGCCGCGUGAGUGAUGAAGGUCUUCGGAUCGUAAAACUCUGUUAUUAGGGAAGAACAAAUGUGUAAGUAACUAUGCACGUCUUGACGGUACCUAAUCAGAAAGCCACGGCUAACUACGUG
rnacentral:rRNA from 1 species